rnacentral:lncRNA from 1 species
GUGAAGAUAGGCGAUGGGGGGAGGGGGCUGCGGGGAGAGCUGCAACCACAGGCUGGUUGGAGGAGAGCCGGUCUGAGGCCAAGGCCAGGGCACAGAACCGAGCAGAGCAGAAAGGUGGAGUGAGGAGCGGUACUCAGUGACUUUAAAUGAGCUACUGAAUGCCAAGCCCAGCACUGUUCCGGCUCCAUUCCUUUGAUAUGCAUCUGCAUGUCAAUGGAUUUGUCCUGCUCAGAGUCUGUCUCCUGCUCACCCUCCUUAUUCUAAUCACCCUUGCCGAGGGUUGGGAUACCAAGCCACCCCAGCAACCAGGAAUCUGGAUUGACAACACACCAAAAACACCUGGGAUGAGACAGAGCAAUUCCCUCAAAGGACUAGAAAGUCAGAACAGGGAAAAUCUGUACAUAUCAUCUAAUUUUUUUUUUUUUAUUUAUGAUAGUCACACAGAGAGAGAGAGAGAGAGAGAGAGAGAGACAGAGACAGAGACACAGGCAGAGGGAGAAGCAGGCUCCAUGCACCGGGAGCCCGACGUGGGAUUCGAUCCCAGGUCUCCAGGAUCGCGCCCUGGGCCAAAGGCAGGCGCCAAACCACUGCGCCACCCAAGGAUCCCCAUAUCAUCUAAUUAAAUGAAACUAAUUAUGCUUCAUCUUGGUUGAUACAAUUAAUUGUUAGCGAGUUUUGCUUCAGCCAUUUUCCCUAAUGGAUAAGACUUGGGCUUGAUGGGCUCUUUCCUUUAGGUCUCUUAGCCACCUCAAGUGACAGGUUAUUGCUUCGCUGGGAUGAUGCCUGGCCUGUCGAUGGCAGGUUGUUCAUUCCCAGGAUCUGCUUAUUCACCACUCCUUGUCACGCCCACGGAUGACUGAGCUCAACUGAGCUCAUGGGUUACGUACACUCCUGAACUCCCUGCAGGAUGAUCUCCUAACAAUGCUGUCACCCAUAGGUGCGGCAUUUCGACUCAAACUGAAAUCCAAGUUUCCAUUUCCUCCAACUUUGGACCUCUCAUCUCUUUUACUGGCUUGUCUUCGGGUGGAGGAGCUCUCGUGGGAGGCACCCUCUUUUAACCGACAGAUGAUUGGAAGGACAGAUGCAGACCCCACUUGUGUUUAUCCACUUGUUCUGAGGAGCACUCACCAAAUUCCCUUUUUUAAACUGGACAUCAUUGAGAACAAGAAGAAAACAUUCCCAACCUUCCAGAAAGUGGGAACUUUUUAUUUUUUAAAUUUUUUAUUUAUUUAUGAUAGUCACACACAGGGAGAGAGAGAGAGAGGCAGAGGGAGAAGCAGGCUCCAUGCACCGGGAGCCUGACGUGGGAUUCGAUCCCAGGUCUCCAGGAUCAAGCCCUGGGCCAAAGGCAGGCGCUAAACCUCUGUGCCACCCAGGGAUCCCAGUGGGAACUUUUUAAAAUCAGUUUGGGCAAAGAGUAUCUGGGGAGAGAAACCACAAUAAAUGCCUGCGUAUAAUUAACA